rnacentral:lncRNA from 1 species
GUCACAUUGUAGAUGAGCAAGGUAUUAGACCAGACAGCAAGAAAAUAGAUGCCAUACUAACCAUCAAGCCACCGCAAAACACCACGGAGCUCAAACAUGUGCUAGGUAUGGCGCAUACCUAGCACAUGGACGUUACUUACCUAACUUAGCAGAUGUAACUUGUCAUGAUCUGUGUUUUUGUUUCUAGUUGUAUCAUGUUUCACGCCAUGUCCUGUGUAACACUACUUCCUGUUUUAUUUUGGUAGUCUCCUGGUUUCUGUUCCUGCUUUAGCUUUACUUCCGGUUUUUGUCUUGUCACAGCUGUCCCUGCUCCACCUGAUCGUUAUCCUCACCUGCACUGUAUCAGUUAAUUACUCAUCUGUGUAUUUAGUCACCUCCUGUUCCCGUAGUCACUUGCCAGAUUGUUGAGUUGAGAAUGUGUUGAGCGUCCCUAGUUUCCUGAGUUCCCUGAGUGUUCGUGUUCUCGUGUCUUAUUCCUGUUCGCACCGUGUAUCCUGCCCGACACUGGAUUAUCUACUGACCGUGAGUUUUUGCCUGUUCCCUGCCUGUACUUUUGCCGAGCCUUUUUGUGUUUGACCUGGACCGUAUGACCCUGCCUUGAGCAAUAAACCUUUUGUUGAUUAUAACCUUCGCCUCCGUGCUGUGCAUGUGGGUCCGCCGCCAGCCCGAGUCCCUGACAGAACAAUCUGGCCAAACUUGGACCCAGCCAGCACUUAGCCUCCGGUCAGGUCAGUGACUGUUUUUUUCCUUGUUUUUACGGCGAAUAUACUCUCCCGCGGAAGUAUGAAGUUUGACGAAUUAAGCGACGCGCGCUGCACCACGCCGGCGCCGGUCGCACCGCCGAUGGUUUCGGUUUCCUCCUCUCCGCCUCGUCGGAUCGUCGUGCCUGCACCAACCUGCCCAGCUCCAUGGUUGUUCCCCUGGGAGGAUUUCCUGCUCUCACGCGGUCCUCAGUCUCCAGUCCAACCGCGCGCUGCUCAGUCUCCAGUUCAGCCGCGCGCUGCUCAGUCUCCAGUUCAGCCGCGCGCUGCUCAGUCUCCAGGUCAGCCGCGCGCUGCUCAGUCUCCAGGUCAGCCGCGCGCUGCUCAGCCUCCAGUUCAGCCGCGCGCUGCUCAGUCUCCAGUUCAGCCGCGCGUUGCCCAGACCCCAGUUCAGUCGUGUUUUCCCCAGUCUCCAGCCCAAGCUCCAGACGCCGCGGUCCCGUUUCACCAUGCGGGUCCCGGUACAGAGGUCCGGUCCACACCGCGCCCAGCGCCUCAAACGACGGACAGUCGCAGCUGCUCCGGACGGCGACGGCGGCGGCGCGGUUCCAGGAUUCCGGGUCCCGCGGUCUCGGUCAUGGGGACCGAGCCGUCUCCUUCUCCGACAGAGGAGCCCCUUGAUUCUCUGACUGACUGUGUCCCUCUGAUAUCAGGCAUCCCAGACAGCGUCGCCCGACGGGUCCACCUCCUCUGCUCUCCUCCAGUUGCGUUUCUCUUCGCCCACCUCAUGAACACCGCCGAUUCGGCAGCAGACCAGGGCGCGAGAGAACAACUGUUCACGGAAGCAGCCGCUCUCGUCCUGAGGGAGCCUGUCCUGCGUGAGGCCCUGCAACUCCCGGGCCUGCAGCCAGCGGCCGCUUCAUGUCCCACCUCUCAGUCAGUUCAGCCUCGCCAUGCUCAUGCCCUGGUGCAGCCCUGUCGCCUCCAGGUCCCAGCCCAGUCGAACCUAGUCCAGACCCCAGAUCAGCCGUGUGUUGCCCAGACCCCAGAUCAGCCGUGUGUCGCCCAGACCCCAGAUCAGCCGUGUGUCGCCCAGACCCCAGAUCAGCCGUGUGUCGCCCAGACCCCAGAUCAGUCGUGUGUCGCCCAGACCCCAGAUCAGUCGUGUGUCGCCCAGACCCCAGAUCAGUCCUGUGUUGCCCAGACCCCAGAUCAGUCGUGUGUUGCCCAGACCCCAGUUCAGUCGUGUGUUGCCCAGACCCCAGUUCCGUCCUUGUCCCCGUCAGAGGGCACCGUCCGUCUGACGGCUGUUAGCCCCACCCAAUCAGGCCCGACGUCUCCCCCGUCGAGCUCGGCAGCUGUAAGCUGUCAUGCCAGCUCCGGAGGGGACGCCGUUCCAGUCCCUGUCGGCCAUGUUGCGGCCGUUCCAGUCCCGGUCGGCCAUGUUGCGGCCGUUCCAGUUCCUGUCGGCCAUGUUGAGGUCGUUCCAGUUCUUGUCGGCCAUGUUGAGGUCGUUCCAGUUCCUGUCGGCCAUGUUGAGGUCGUUCCAGUUCCUGUCGGCCAUGUUGAGGUCGUUCCAGUUCCUGUCGGCCAUGUUGAGGUCGUUCCAGUUCCUGUCGGCCAUGUUGAGGUCGUUCCAGUUCCUGUCGGCCAUGUUGAGGUCGUUCCAGUUCCUGUUCCUGUCGGCCAUGUUGAGGUCAUUCCAGUUCCUGUCCCUGUCGACCAAAUUGAGGUCGUUCCAGUUCCUGUCCCUGUCGACCAAGUUAAGGUCGUUCCAGUUCCUGUCCCUGUCGGCCAAGUUGAGGUCGUUCCCGUUCCUGUCCCUGUCGGCCCAGUUGAGGUCGUUCCAGUUCCUGUCCCUGUCGGCCAAGUUGAGGGCGUUCCCGUCGGCCAAGUUGAGGGCGUUCCCGUAGGCCAAGUUGAGGGCGUUCCCGUAGGCCAAGUUGAGGGCGUUCCCGUAGGCCAAGUUGAGGGCGUUCCCGUAGGCCAAGUUGAGGGCGUUCCCGUAGGCCAAGUAGAGGUCACCCCUGUCUCUGAUCCCGUUCCCGUCGGCCCUGUAGCGGUCGUUCCAGUCCCCGUUCCUGUCGGCCCUGUAGCGGUCGUUCCAGCCCCCGUUCCUGUCGGCCCUGUAGCGGUCGUUCCAGCCCCCGUUCCUGUCGGCCCUGUAGCGGUCGUUCCAGCCCCCGUUCCUGUCGGCCCUGUAGCGGUCGUUCCAGCCCCCGUUCCUGUCGGCCCUGUAGCGGUCGUUCCAGUCCCCGUUCCUGUCGGCCCUGUAGCGGUCGUUCCAGUCCCCGUCAUCCUUGGAGCCGCAGCUCCUGCGCACCUCCAGGAGGAGGUCGCGCCAGCCGCAGUUCCUGCGCACCUCCAGGAGGAGGUCGCGCCAGCCGCAGCAGUUCCUGCGCACCUCCAGGAGGAGGUCGCGCCAGCCGCAGCAGUUCCUGCGCACCUCCAGGAGGAGGUCGCGCCAGCCGCAGUUCCUGCGCACCUCCAGGAGGAGGUCGCGCCAGCCGCAGUUCCUGCGCACCUCCAGGAGGAGGUCGCGCCAGCCGCAGUUCCUGCGCACCUCCAGGAGGAGGUCGCGCCAGCCGCAGUUCCUGCGCACCUCCAGGAGGAGGUCGCGCCAGCCGCAGUUCCUGCGCACCUCCAGGAGGAGGUCGCGCCAGCCGCAGUUCCUGCGCACCUCCAGGAGGAGGUCGCGCCAGCCGCAGUUUCUGCGCACCUCCAGGAGGAGGUCGCGCCAGCCGCAGUUUCUGCGCACCUCCAGGAGGAGGUCGCGCCAGCCGCAGUUUCUGCGCACCUCCAGGAGGGGGUCGCGCCCGUCGCAUCCCCGGCGGACCUCCAGGAGGAGGUCGCGCCCGUCGCAGUCCCGGCGGACCUCCAGGAGGGGGUCGCGCCCGUCGCAGUCCCUGCCGACCUCCAGGAGGGGGUCGCUCCCGUCGCAGUUCCUGCCGACCUCCAGGAGGGGGUCGCUCCCGUCGCAGUUCCUGCCGACCUCCAGGAGGGGGUCGCUCCCGUCGUAGUUCCUGCCGACCUCCAGGAGGGGGUCGCUCCCGUCGUAGUUCCUGUCGACCUCCAGGAGGGGGUCGCUCCCGUCGUGGUUCCUGCCGACCUCCAGGAGGGGGUCGCUCCCGUCGUAGUUCCUGCCGACCUCCAGGAGGGGGUCGCUCCCGUCGUAGUUCCUGUCGACCUCCAGGAGGGGGUCGCUCCCGUCCCGGCUCAGGCCGCACCUGCAUCGGUUCCUGGCGGCCCGGCUCAGGCCGCACCUGCAUCGGUUCCUGGCGGCCCGGCUCCGGCCGCACCUGCAUCGGUUCCUGGCGGCCCGGCUCCGGCCGCACCUGCAUCGGUUCCUGGCGGUCCGGCUCCGGCCGCACCUGCAUCGGUUCCUGGCGGUCCGGCUCCGGCCGCACCUGCAUCGGGUCCUGUCUCUCGUCGCGGUGGUCCAAGGAGGACGCCGCUGGUUCCUGUCUCUCGUCGCGGUGGUCCAAGGAGGACGCCGCUGGUUCCUGUCUCUCGUCGCGGUGGUCCAAGGAGGACGCCGCUGGUUCCUGUCUCUCGUCGCGGUGGUCCAAGGAGGACGCCGCUGGUUCCUGUCUCUCGUCGCGGUGGUCCAAGGAGGACGCCGCUGGUUCCUGGCUCUCGUCGCGGUGGUCCAAGGAGGACGCCGCUGGUUCCUGGCUCUCGUCGCGGUGGUCCAAGGAGGACGCCGCUGGUUCCUGCCUCGUCCUUGUCUCGGCCGCCGGACUGGUGGCCUCGCCCUCGGCGCCUCCUGCUGCCCGGAUGGCGCUGCCUCCUGCGGCGACGUCCGCCUCGACUCCUCAGCCCAUCGGAUCAGCGUCCGCCUGGAGGACGUUGCCAUUCGGGGUGGCCCCCGGGGACAUCGGUCCAGCCCAAGGGCACUAAGAGUGCCACCCUGGCUCAGCGGCUGCUGGGCAGGGUCUCGCCACGCCAUCACCCUCCGUGAGGGAAUCCCUGAACUUCAUGUUUUUCCUGGUCAUGGACCUUUGUAGUGUAUGUGGACUCUUGUUUUGGCCCUCCCCCGGUCCUCCCUCCACCCACCCUGCUCAUGUACCUUGAGGGGUAGGGAUUCGGUCCCUCCGCCUGGGACCACCCUCCGCCCGCCCUGGUUUGGGGGGGGGGGCUUCCGUGGGCGCCGUGGAAGGCGCCAUAGGGGGGGGGGUACUGUCAUGAUCUGUGUUUUUGUUUCUAGUUGUAUCAUGUUUCACGCCAUGUCCUGUGUAACACUACUUCCUGUUUUAUUUUGGUAGUCUCCUGGUUUCUGUUCCUGCUUUAGCUUUACUUCCGGUUUUUGUCUUGUCACAGCUGUCCCUGCUCCACCUGAUCGUUAUCCUCACCUGCACUGUAUCAGUUAAUUACUCAUCUGUGUAUUUAGUCACCUCCUGUUCCCGUAGUCACUUGCCAGAUUGUUGAGUUGAGAAUGUGUUGAGCGUCCCUAGUUUCCUGAGUUCCCUGAGUGUUCGUGUUCUCGUGUCUUAUUCCUGUUCGCACCGUGUAUCCUGCCCGACACUGGAUUAUCUACUGACCGUGAGUUUUUGCCUGUUCCCUGCCUGUACUUUUGCCGAGCCUUUUUGUGUUUGACCUGGACCGUAUGACCCUGCCUUGAGCAAUAAACCUUUUGUUGAUUAUAACCUUCGCCUCCGU